UGACGAUGGACGAGGAUGUGCUGUCAUGGCGCUGAAAACAAACUGCUGAUUUAAAUCUCUCCAUCAUCAUCAAUACAGUUCUGGAGCAUUUCACCUAGUUUAAAGCCUGCAGUCCAUGAGAUUGGACAUUUGUCAUCCAGUCAAAUUGCAGUAAAGCUCUGCAUGUGGUAAUUAAAAAAAAUACCACUACAUUGAAGAGAAGCAUGGCAGCAAUUCUAUCCAAACACAGAAUGGUACAGGAGCUGUUUGACUCGGAUCCGGCGCACCUGAUGAACCCUUCUGUUCAAGACUUACAGAAGAAAUAAGGCCUGUGACCUCUGACCUUCGAAUCUCAUCUGUCUGUGCCGUUUCUUCGAAUGUGAAUUAAAUAAAUGUUCAUUAAAUGUGAUGGAUCUCUAGCGCCUUUAAACUGAAUAUCAAUGUUGUUUUGAAUUUCAAAUGUUUUUGUGAUCUGAUGUUUCAAACAGUGUUGAUUCAGAUGAAACCCUUCUGGAGGUGUUUUCUAGAAGGGAGUCACUCAGGUCAU